CAGGCUACUAAUGUGAAACAAUUGUAAGUUUUAAAGUGUAAGAUGGUUUCAUGCUGCUAGAGAUGAGUGCUUCCAGUGGUGUCAGUUGAGGCUAAGCUGAGGGCCACAUGAAUGCAGAAGAGAAGCUUUGGUUGGAUCAGAGGGAGCCCCUCCAUAGGGUUCAGGUUCUGUGGAGCUGGUGGGGAUGAGUGAGGAACCAGCUGGGCUCCUCCAGAUUCUUCCGUCCCCAGGCCUGUGCGGGAAAACAUCAUAAGCUGAGUGUGUAUAACUUGGGCUGUUUCUUGCGCUGUACUGUAAAAGAAGCUCUGGGGGUACCAGUAGGAAUCCAUGAGGCCAAGUGGUAGAAUGGAGGCAAGGAGCAACCACAUGGAUUGCCCAAUAUUCAGGCAUUCCCCGCACCACCUUCCAAGCUGCAGAUCCUCCCAGUCCCCAUGUGGCACACCUCUUUCUGCUGUGGAAACUCAGUUCCCUAUGGUAACAGGUCGA